rnacentral:snRNA from 1 species
CUGCUCUCUUCGGCAGCACAUAUACUAAAAUUGGCACGAUACAGAGAAGAUUAGCAUGGCCCCUGUGCAAGGAUGACGUGCAAAUUCAUGAGGCAUUUCAUAUUUUU